UACGUAGGGUGCGAGCGUUAAUCGGAAUUACUGGGCGUAAAGCGUGCGCAGGCGGUUUUGUAAGCCAGAUGUGAAAUCCCCGGGCUCAACCUGGGAAUGGCAUUUGGGACUGCAAGGCUGGAGUUUGGCAGAGGAGACUGGAAUUCCUGGUGUAGCAGUGAAAUGCGUAGAGAUCGGGAGGAACACCAGUGGCGAAGGCGGCUACCUGGACCAGCACUGACACUGAAGCACGAAAGCGUGGGGAGCAAACAGG
rnacentral:rRNA from 1 species